AGUCAUAAUCCUCGAUGGCCCCUGCUUCUCUCAUCUCUGUUGUACUACUUUUGUAGAGUAUGUCGCUUUUAUUAGGCGUAUUUCCAACAGUUACUACUAUUACUAGGCAUACUGCAUUGAGCGAAUAUAUUUGUGGGAGGGCGGGGUCAACUUUUCAACAUUCCUAGCCGGAGUUAGGCUUUUGUUUCGACUUGACACAGAUGUUUGCCUCCUCAAUCUUGGAUGCCUCCUCCUUAGUAAAGAUUGGAUCAAGAUGAUGUUCCUCAAUCCUUGGAGGAGCUGAAUAUAAGAUGAUGGGUACAUGUAUGAUAGAGACAGUGCCAUAGUGUGAUCGAGCAAGAUCCCAAAGAACUUGUUUAUUCAUCAAGAGGCACAGCAAACAAAAACAGCCAUGUUGGAGUCGUAUAUCGCGCCGAUGUUGAUGAGUUAUGUCAACAAAUACAUCAAGAACUUGAAGCCCUCGGACCUCCAGUUGUCCUUGUGGGGCGGCGACGUCGUCCUAAACAACCUUGACCUUCGUCUGGACGUCCUUGAACAGGAGCUGAAACUACCAAUCACGUUCCUCAGCGGUCACAUCCACGAACUCCGCGUACACGUACCGUGGGCACGGCUGGGGUACGAACCCGUCGUCAUCACCAUAAACACGAUAGAAUGCGUCCUGAAGCUACGGGAUGCGAGCCCGGGGGAGACAGACAGCACAAGUUCGAAGACAAGCACUGCAAGCUCGCGGGCGAGUAGCGUAGACAGGUCAAAGGUCAAACGCCAGCUGACCGGUAGCGAUGCCGACCUCCCGCCGGGCUACGUUCAAACGCUGAUCAACCGAGUCGUGAACAACGUCUCUAUCGUAGUCAACAACCUCAUUCUGAAGUACGUAGAAGAUGACAUUGUUCUAUCGCUAAACAUCAAGUCUGCGGAGUGUUACAGCGUGAACGAGUUUUGGGACAGCGCGUUCAUCGAUCUAACCGUCGAAGAUCUCGUGCUACGGAAGCUCAUCAAGUUCUCCGACAUGACCGUUUGCCUGGACAAGCGGACAGCGGCGGGAAAGAUCGAAAUGUACCAGGAACCGAUGAUCUUCCGAUGUUCCUUCGAGACGCGAAUUUUCAUGAUGUACGAGAGCCUGAAUGCGAAACUCCCAUUCGCAACAAAGAUCAAUACGUUCUGUGAAGAAGUGAACAUUUCCAUCAGUGAUAUCCAGCUUCCCAUGUACCUAAGGCUCAUACAACUCUGUACGGCUUUGUACUAUGGGGAUAUUGACCUUCCAGAGAGCCAGCAACAACAAGAGGGACAUGAACUUGAGCAUGAGCAAGAACUAGCAACAGGAAAUACAGGUCCAGUGGACAAUACUGACCAACCGCAGGACUACAGUGACCAGCAAGGCUGGGGGUCCUGGAUGUGGUCACUGGUGCCAGAACUGGUGACUUUUGAAGAGGAGGAGGGAGAGGGGGAGGGGGGCGGCAGGGGCAAGCCCACCAAACCUGCUGAACCCAUCCUGGCCUUCAGCGCUUAUGUCAAGAAGGCAGUGGUCACAUUUAAGUUGACAGAGCUUACACAAGAGAACAUGUUCUACGGACCACAGAAGUUGGUCUUUAAGCCAUAUUUAAGACUAGAACAGGACGGCUCAUCCCUGGAGAUACUGAUGAGAGGGGAGACAUUCUUUGAUGCCCAAAUCGGCUUCACCAAGUUCCAACUGACCUGUAUGGAUGAGGAAGAAACCACUACUAGAGAAAUGGACCCUUGUUUCCUCAAGGCAGGGGAACCUGUGGAAAACAAAACUAGCAGUCAUUUCUUUUCCCAGUCACUGUUUGAUGAAAGGAGCCCUGAAAACAACAGGGUUCAGCCUGACUUUGUACUUGAUGUUGAGAUGCACCAGCGCCUGUACAAUGAGACGGCCAUGUUACAGCGAUAUGGAGCCUUUUGGAUGGACUAUCUUUACACUAUGGAGAUAGAAGACAGGAAUGUGUCUGAGAGUGGUUCUGAUGCAGGUUCUCACAGCAGCCACCAGGACAUGUCCACAAUAAAGGAGUCGUCAUCCAAAAGGUUCCUUUUUGCACCAGUCCAGGCCACUGUAACUAGCGAGGUGGUACAGAAGCUGUUAAAGUUCCAGGAGUGUGCCAACAACCAUGAGUACGAACCCUACAGUCAGCCCAAACCUGUGGUUGUUGAUGAGAGUCGACCCCACCCUACUCUGGAGGAGGUAGCAGCUAUGGAGGAGUUCAUCCCUACCCGGUCCAUGCACGUGACACUCCUGUCGCUCACGGUGUACGUGUGCGGGGCGGAGAGACCGGACACGCCCGCUUCUGAAGUACAGGAACCCAGGAAAGGGAGGAGGGUCUCCAGACAGGAUUCCAAACAAAAGUUGUUGGAGCCACCCAAACCACCAGAACAAGUUUUCCCCCUCCCCACCAUAGUGGUACAGGCCGAUAGGAUAGACAUCCAGAACACUGUACCCAUGUACAGGUACAACCUGGUACCCGCUGUCAGCUGUAUGGUACAACCCUCGGGCAACCUGCUACAUCACUGUUACUCACAUAUAUAUGUCAAGGUAUUUGGAUUUCAAGUUGGCUUGACCACAAUGGAUCCGUCCAAUCCAUCCCCUGCACCCCUGACAGUACUGGCCCCUUGCAGUACUGCUGUGUACUACAAGACACUUCUGUUGCCCAUGUACUGGAGAGACCCCUUGCAGUCUCAGACAGAAGUGCUCCUAGAGCUGCCAGGUGUUGUCUGCACCCUGACCCAGCCACAGCUGCAGCUGCUGCACCUGAUACAGCUGAGCUGGACCGGCCACGUGGGAGGAUUCCACAGGACGAGUCUGGUGGAAGAUGUCUUCAACCCGUCAGCUAAAGCGUUCCCUGCCGGCCAGCCUAUGAUUGAGGUAUCCCUGAGUGGUCUGGAGUGGAAGUAUGUGGAAACCCUCAGUCUCAGGGCAGUGUCAGGGACUGUGGGAGGGCUGAAGGUCUCAGUUCAUUCUAUUGAGAAUGGCACAGAAGCUGUCACCCCCAUUUUAGCAGGGCCAGUGGACUCUUCCCAAGUCCACAACACAAAGUUCUUCACCAUGGUAACAGAGGAGGCCACACCUAGCAACCUGCCCUCUGACCUCAUGACUCUCACCUUUCAAAUAGGAAAGGAUGCCAAUAUAAAGCCAGGCCAUAGCCUGGUUCUACUGGACGUCCAGGGCAUGUCGUGCUGUUUAGAUCCUGUUCUCCUGACCUGGCUAGCGUACAGACCGCACCCCGUGUGGCACAAGGCCAGCAGUCCACACCAGCUGCACAGACAGGCGUCCGUCAUCACGUCUGUAUCCACCCAGACUGCAACCAGGCAGAGACACUCUUCUCAAGAAUCUACUAAAUCGGAGUCCAAACAGCGGUCGCGUACACGUACCAGCAGCCAACCAAUCCCCAUGGCCCACCUGACGUCGCCACAGGAGCCAGCAAAAGCUGAAGAGAAGAAAGCAGACGGAACUCUGGUCAUCAAAAAAUGGUUACAUGACAUGUUUCCUGUCGUCAGGCAACUUCAAGUACAGGUUGACCUCCAACCUUUGACCUUUUUCUUCCCGACGGACCACAUCAUCAGCAUGCCACCACAGUCUUCCAGCAGUCUUCUCUCCCAUCUGCAGAUGUAUUACACCACAACUGGGCAGCCCCACCCCAUGCUGGCUGUGUGCCUGCCUAGAAUAAAUAUCUGCAGUUCCGGGCACAAGCACAUGGAGGCACUGCAGGACAUACCCUACAGUCCUGAUAGGCCAUUUUUGGAGACAGAUCUUCUUCCAUGGAACAUAAGCCUUGAAAAGUGCAGCAUCUACACAGUACACGACUACCAGGGGGUGUACUACCUACUGGAGCCAACAGCCGUAACUUCAGUGCUGGCCGUUACCUGUUCUGGCAGCCCUCCCUCUGGAGGGUACACAUCCUUGGGCAUCUGUUUCCACACAGACCUGCAGCCUGUGGCUCUGAACUGUUCCAAACAACAGGUGCAGUUAUUGUCGUCCCUUGCUGAGGUGGGACUUAACGUCCUAGAAGACCUACAGUCCAGAGCUGCCACCACAGGACCCUCCCCUUCUGCCGUGGGCUCCAAACCAACAGAAACAGUCUCUACUGCGCUGUCCAGCCCCAGUCGGUCUCCUACCAAACACUUACAGAGUAUCAGUGACUCCAGUGAGCUAGAGGACUUAGGCAGUGGGACAUCAACUGAUGAGACUGUGAUUUCUGCCAAGGAUGGGGAGGCCAGUCAGGAGUCUAAUGUAGGAAAAGUCUCCCUGUGGUUACAAUGGGCUCUUCCAAAAGUCAAGGUAACCCUCUAUGGACAGGACCAUCUCAACAUCAAACAAGAUGUAAAGAUCUGUACAGAAGUGGAAGAUCUCAGUGCCUCUAUUGACGUACAAGAGGUCUAUACUAAGGUCAAAUGCAAGGUCGGAAGCCUCAAUGUCAACCACAAGGUCAAAAAACCACAGUCACAUCAUUGGGAGCCAGGCCCAUUCAAUGGUAUCGUCCUCUCGUGUUCCGAGAAGCUCUCGAACCUUACCCAGCUGCCAGCAUUCCACUCUCGCGAGACCAGAACCAACCCGUUCUUCCCCGAGUUUGCCAAGCUAGCGGAGACCGCCAAGCCUCACGGCUUCCUGAGCAUCACUUUUACCCGCGCUCUCACCACGUGCGUGCGGAAGAAAAUCGCAAAGCGAGAGCGUGGCGAGAAAGCGCCCAAGGAAAGGACUCGGGAAACCGACACACAGUACAUGAACGAAAUAUGCCUGAUGGUCGAGCCUUGUGACGUCAUCUUCUGGUGUCCUCUCGUUGCGUCGGCGCUGAAUAUAUUUCACCGCGAGAACGGCAAAACCCAAAAAGAGAAACCCAAAGCCAGCGUCGUAGGCACAAAGUCGACGCAUGCUCUUAUGAUUGCUACCAGCAGUCUACCCUUGCUACACUUCAACUGUAGCAACUUCAGGUUGUUUGUUCCGGUAGACGAGAGUCUGAAAGGUACGCCGCUACAGUCAGACUUGCUGCUGCUUCACGUUAACUCUGUCUCGCUCACCCCGCAAGCCGACAACCCCCUCCCCAGGUUGGUAGUCAGAAAGGACAUGUACAGGCGAGCAGUGCAUGCUGGGAAGAUGCAGACACCAGGGUCUGAGGUGGAGGACAGGCAGUACCAGCUGGAUGUGAACGGGCUGGGCCUCUGCUCGGGAUUGUGGGAGGAAGUGGUGAGAAGCAUGGAACAGGGUAGACAGGUGGAGAGUGAGGAGGAGCUGCUCAUAUCCCAGAAUCCUGCAGUGGAGUGGAACAGAGCUGACAAACAGCCACACCACCAGGAGCCAGUCCACCUGACUCCCAUCGUGAUGGACUACGACAUGCGAGUUGUUGUGGCUCCUGCUGUCAUUGUUUACAGGCAUCCAGCACAGGACAGCCAUGCUAGACAGCCAGUGAUAGUGUGCGGACACUCCUUGGAGGUGAACGUGACCUCUGACCUGGACUUCUACAUCAGCACGGAGCAGGUGCAGCUCAUGCACCACUUGAUUGACAGGAACCUGUCGGCCAUGUUGGGAGGGGCGGGGCAGGAGGGGCCCAAGAGCCACAGCAACAGUGACGAGUCAAGCAGAGGUGCGGGGGCCGGCCCCAGACCACCUGCAUCAUCAGAAGACAGUGGCAUCGGCAGCGACAGUACCUUGAUUCCCAUCUCAGCCACUAUAGAGAGACAGUCUGCAGAACUACACCCCAGUCUUCUCGAAAAGCAGACCAAAACUGUGGAACGUUCAACAGAGAUCAUGCCUAUGGACAUCCUCCUCACUGCAGGCAAAAUUUCCUUAAUGCUCUACUCCAGUUCCUUAAAGAAAGAGGACUCGCCUUCAAAUCGAAAUUCGCAACCAAUAAGAAUGGUUUCACCUUUUCUACCAAUGGGCCUUUCUGCCAUCUUCCCAUCAUCCUUUGUGCAAGAGAGCAUGGUGGGAAAGAGGGUGUUGAAGCCAUUUGUGCACGCAGUGUUCUCACAGCCGUCGACAAUCAUCAACGUCCAAUCAGCAAGCCAGAAGCUGGAAGUGUCGUGCUAUGAUGUCAGUCUGAAAGGAGUGCCGAUGGAUUUAACUAUCACAGAUUCUGCCAAGCUGCUGCCGGAAGCGAGUGAUUUCAGUGUCCCCUGGGUCCAGACUGCGAUGGGUGAGCCUGACCCCAGAAGUGGGGUACCUCCUGCUGUCUACACCUUCACUGUCACGGACUUCCUUUCAGACCAAGCGAAUGUGCGUCUUGAUGUUGGGAGACCAAUCAAGGUCAACUUCAGCAUCACCAAGGUAAAACAAGCCAUGGGUGUCCUGAAACUGCUGACUCCCACCAAACAUCAUGAAAUCCAGGCCAAGCUUUCCCCAACCGUUCCUCAAAAAGACUUGAAGAAUCUUGAAACAACAACGCAAAAGACCGCAGGAGUAGCAUCAAAGCCAGAAAAAGCGACUUCUGUGGCGCCAACUGAGUUGACACCUCUGUUGGCAAGGUUGCAUUCUGCCAGCUUUGCCAUUGGUCAGGUGGUUGUUGCUAUGGAGACAGUGCCACACCCACAAAAUCCCAAAGCAGUGAUGUCGCUGACUGGGAUAAGCAGUAAAGUGGAGAUGAAACUGGCAGAGAAUGGCACCGACUUGAUAGCAACUACUUGCGACACAACUAUCAAAGACUUCUUGGUGAAAACCUCCCUCCAUGACAAAAUGCGACCCCUGCUUGGACCUCUGACCUCUGAACUCUCCCUGGCCUGUGAUUGGUCAACCCACAGUGGCAGCCAGUAUGAUCCUCAUCUUCCCAAAGUGAAUGCUGGGAUACAUCUGGGCAUUGUGAGGGUUUUCAUUGGACAGGAACAUCUGAACUGUGCCUUGUUGAUGACUGAGCAUAUACAGGAGUUUGUAACAGAGUUCACAGGGAAAACAAAGAAUUUAAAGAGGACUGAGCCAGAUGUCUCACCACCCACAAUGCAGUCUGACAAGCCUCCAGUUGCCAUGGACACUGUUGCCAUGGAUACUGUCAUCAGUUCAAGAGAUGACCUCAGAGUUGGAACAUUCCAGUACAUCUCCAACAGAGAUGGGGGUAAGAGAUUGCCCAAUCCUGGCCAGAUAGUGUUUACGAAGGAGAGAGGAGGGAAGCCCGGCACGAUGGCUUGGUGUUACCACAAGCCCCGCGUGCUGACGUACAUCCACGUGACCCCCGUGCCGUUCCACACCAUGGAUGAUCCGGACAUCAGCUUCACAGAGCUGGAAGAAUUUGUUGAGGUGCCAUGUUCUCUUCAGUACUGGGAUGAAGUCAGGAAGGCCUUUGUCAUGUUCCACAAGUUCAAACUGUCAGCCAGCAGGUCAUACCAUGCCAGGUUUGCUGACAUUGCCAUGGCAACAGCCAAUCAGGUGGUGGCAGCCCAACUGUGGCAGGUGGUGGUGCAUUCUGGGACAGAAGUUCAGGGAGAACCAGACUUUGUCUUUGUUUCUGGAAGUGGCGACACCUGUCCAUCGGAGGAGGAAAGCGACCCCCUCCUAUCGCCCAUGGCGUUGGCGGCCUGCAUGCGAGUGGACUCGAGUUUCGCGCCGAAGUUUGUACCGGCCGUGUCAGCGUCUUUAUCGGCGAGUGCCAUACAGAUCAGCGUCAGUAAUCAUACAGAGCAUCUUGGGAAAGGUCCUAUUGGAAGGCUGCAGCCUUUUAAGUUUGAUGACUCCAUGCCAAACGAUCAGGAGUUUCUGGACAUCUCGAUGGAGAAACCACUUCUACACUUCAAACACUGGCAUGGGGACAGAGACUGGUCAUCUCUACAGAUGGAAGGGUCCAUUGGUGCUGAUGUGUUGGAGUACAGGAACUUGACCAUGCAGCCUUUGGUCGAACCAUUCAAGCUACAGGGGGAGCUCAUGUACAGAAAAGAAGCACAUGUGACACAUGUGGACACCAGAGUUUCGACAGACCCGAUUCACCUGCGGGUAGCCCAGGGUACAGUCCACACACUGACCAUGGCUCAGCGACUCUGGACACAGAAUUUCUCCCCCACAAAGACAGAUGACGAACGGCUCAUUCUCAACUACUUUGUGAUCUGUAACGACACCCAGGAGACUAUCCGGUUUGGACAGGUGGACACGGAUGAGAACGUCAUCCUGUGCAGCCGGCGCAUGCACGGCUACAGCUGGCGCACCCACAAACAAGUGCAGGUUGGCAGGAUGCUCCACGUGUGUUUUGAGGGGUGGGCGAACUGGCGCUGGUCCGAGCCGUUUAACAUCGACACGGCCGGGUCGUUUGUGCGGACCAUCCAACACCAAGGGCACGCGACCUCGCUGAUCGUCAAGGUUCAACCAAUCACACCUCUCCAGAAACAGAUUACCUUCUGCGGUCGACAAGUCUUUACCAACCACUUGUCAAAGAACCUCCUACUGGAGAUUGUCCAAGUGCGGAAAUCCCAGCCUGCAUUGCCUCGGGACCUGACCCUUGACCUCCCCGCCAGGACCACGCUGCCGUCCUUCGUUCUAGAGGACGACAUGAUCAGGGGAAUCCGACUCAGGGCCCAGGGAGAAUUCACCGUUUGGUCAGGAGAGGUCGACGUAGGGUCAACAAAACAGAAGGAGACUUCUUAUGUACAGAUCUCUUGUGAGGAUGGCAGUGUGUUACAGGUCCUGUGUACAGUCUACAACCUCCAACCUUCAACCCCACAGCACAUGCCGGCAUGGGCUCUGCCUGGACAGAGGGUGAUUGUGCUGAGUCCAGUGUUUGUGGUGAGGAGUUGGAUCCCCGGGCCCCUGCUCAUGAACCUGGAGACACGCAACCUUGGUGAGAGACACCAGUACCAGGUCGUGGGAAAGGGCAAAGGUCAUGACCUCUACAACAUUGAACCUGAACUCUCACAUCAUGUCACCUUUCAGUUUGGUAAGAAUGGUGAGCCGUCCAGCCCGACCAUCCGUUUGAACUCUGACCUGAUCAGUGAGGUGGACAGGAAACCCUCCCUGCCUACUGUGGAGAAACUAUGCACUAUUCCAGAAGGGAGUGAUGAUGAUGUGGGAGAAGGCUGGCCAUUCUCUGGUUAUCUUCAUUCUAGAAAACAGGAUACAGACAAGGACGUAGUGGUGUUUCAGCCAACCACAGAGCUGAAAGUGACCUUCGCAGAAUUCUCGCCAUACGUUGACACCCUCCUGCUGAACGUUUCGCCCUGGUGCCUGCUGGGAAACGACACGUCGAUCGACCUGGGACUGGUGUUGGCUGAUGGGGUGGCCUUGGAUCUGCCUGCGGGACAGGCUAUCGCUCCACCAAAAUUUAGAGGAGAGUUCUGUAUCAGUGUGCGGCUGCCAUCCUCAGCUGAUGCCGACACGUCCAGCCUGCCCCAGUCCCUGCCCAUCCUACUGGAGACGGAGGAUGUGUCACCCAGCGCCAAGUAUGGGGAGAGACUCAUCAUGCUGCAGGAGGGCCUGGGACUGCUCAACAUUGUCAUACCAGCUGCACAGGCAGGGGGCGCCACUAAGGUUGGACUGAUGUAGAAUCUAUAAUAGUUGUAUUGUUCAGGAGGGGCUGGGACUGCUCAACAUUGUCAUACCAGCUACACAGGCAGGGGGCGCCACUAAGGUGGGACUGAUGUAGAAUCUAUAGUUAGUGUUGUAUUGUUCAGGAGGGGCUGGGGCUGCUCAACAUUGUCAUACCAGCUACACAGGCAGGGGGCGCCACUAAGGUGGGACUGAUGUAGAAUCUAUAACAGUUGUAUUGUUCAGGAGGGGCUGGGGCUGCUCAACAUCGUCAUACCAGCUGCACAGGCAGGGGGCGCCACUAAGGUGGGACUGAUGUAGAAUCUAUAAUAGUUGUAUUGUUCAGGAGGGGCUGGGGCUGCUCAACAUUGUCAUACCAGCUCCACAGGCAGGGGGCGCCACUAAGGUGUGUUCCCUGUGUGUGACCUCUAGUGUACAACAUGGCAUCCAGGUCCUUCGUCUACAGGAGAGAGUGUUCCUGACUAACCUGAGUAAACUUUCUCUC